UACGGGGGGGUGCGAGCGUUGUCCGGAAUCACUGGGCGUAAAGGGCGCGUAGGUGGUUUGAUAAGGGUGUGGUGAAAGUCCGGAGCUCAACUCCGGAUCUGCCGUGCCCGACUGUCAAAACUCGAGGGGCUGUAGAGGCAGACGGAAAUUCCGGGGUGUAGCGGUGGAAUGCGUAGAGAUCCGGAGGAAGACCGGUGGCGAAGGCGGUCUGCUGGGGCAGUUUUCUGACACUGAG
rnacentral:rRNA from 1 species